rnacentral:rRNA from 1 species
AAACCAGCACCUCAAGUUGUCAGGAUGAUUAUUGGGCCUAAAGCAUCCGUAGCCUGCUCUGUAAGUUUUCGGUUAAAUCUGUACGCUUAACGUACAGGCUGCCGGAAAUACUGCAGAGCUAGGGAGUGGGAGAGGUAGACGGUACUCGGGAGGAAGUGGUAAAAUGCUUUGAUCUCUCGAUGACCACCUGUGGCGAAGGCGGUCUACCAGAACACGUCCGACGGUGAGGGAUGAAAGCUGGGGGAGCAAACCGGAUUAGAAACCCGAGUAGUCC